rnacentral:rRNA from 1 species
GAUGAACGCUGGCGGCGUGCCUAAUAAAUGCAAUUCGAGCGAACGGACGAGAAGUUUGUUCCUCUGAUGUUAGCGGCGGACGGGUGAGUAACACGUGGAUAACCUACCUAUAAGACUGGGAUAACUUCGGAAAACCGGAGCUAAUACCGGAAAAUAUUUUGAACCGCAUGGUUCAAAAGUGAAAGACGGUCUUGCUGUCACUUAUAGAUGGAUCCGCGCUGCAUUAGCUAGUUGGUAAGGUAACGGCUUACCAAGGCAACGAUGCAUAGCCGACCUGAGAGGGUGAUCGGCCACACUGGAACUGAGACACGGUCCAGACUCCUACGGGAGGCAGCAGUAGGGAAUCUUCCGCAAUGGGCGAAAGCCUGACGGAGCAACGCCGCGUGAGUGAUGAAGGUCUUCGGAUCGUAAAACUCUGUUAUUAGGGAAGAACAUAUGUGUAAGUAACUGUGCACAUCUUGACGGUACCUAAUCAGAAAGCCACGGCUAACUACGUG